CGCCGCCGCCGAUCUCCUCUUCCAUCUGGGCCGCUGCUACUCUUGCAGCCGUUGGUUCCACUCAUUCGCAGACCCUGUCCCUCCCGAUCCCUCACCUCUUAUGACCGAGGGUGAAUCAUUGGUGUGCUGCCAGCUUGAGCGAGAUGCCGCCGAUGCGCAAGGAAGAUGCGAAGGGGCAGCACUACACUCGCAACCCUAUUGAGGUGGUGGCGGCGGACGCCCCUUCAUGAAGACGUCCUUGAAGGUAAUGGGCAGGCGAGGACAACGGCGCCGUGAAGAACUCCUGCGUCCUGAUUCCAGUUCGGUGUCCCGGCUAACGAUGCAUUUGAGUAUUUGACAGCCGGCCGCAGGGAGAAGUCAAGGCUAAGCAACCAAGCAGUAGGAUUAUCCCUCCGGAUCUAUCGAUUUUUGCGGUCGUUGUGUUCGCGUUGUGUUCGUUGGCCGGUGACCGAUUCAGUUUCGCAUAUGGGGAUUCUAAUGUGGAUAUUUGAUUUUCAGUUCAAGUAAUUGGGUUCCUGGUUUUAUUGCCAUUUAUAUCUGUGCAUACAUCCAAUUUCUAAGCAGCAGUGGUACACAGUCAAGUCAACCAGAAGGCUUCGAUUUUCUGCCCGUCGGCAUUAGUCUGUAGUGUACUCAUGUGCCUGUUUUCUCCCUGCCUGUCUCCUCUAUGGCUUUCUGAAUCCUGCUGGCAUGUAGAUGACUUAUUUGGCAUUCUGGAAGAUGUCUCUUGAUUCAUGCAAGUUUUUUUGAUCAAGCUUACCUGUUAAAUUUUCAGAUGGCUCUUGAUUCAUUUCAGAUUUCACACAUGCUCUAGCUACUCAUUAGUCCAAGCUAAUUGGUGUUUCAUAUAUGGAUCCAUGUUGAAUGUGGCGUAUAAAUGAAACCAAACAAGGGGCUCAAAACUAUAUUCUAUUUGUUACAACAUUUUUCAAUGUCUAAUAUAUUCAUCAACUUAUGCAAAUUUAGUUCUAUGUUUCAAAAUAUUGCAGAAACUCGAGAUGAUUAUGAGCACGCACGCACACCUUGCCGCUGGUUGGUGUGGAUUCGUGAUGCAGGAGCCUCGUCUUCACAGAGGCGGCAGGUGGGAGAAAGAUUGACAAAGUGGUGGUCUCCGGUGGCUGGGAGGAUCACGGUGAGCACCCUCCCCCUCCUCCAAUUUUUUGUAUGUGCCACAAAUUUCUCAUGGAUGGCUGUGAGAUUGUUAAUUAUGCUUACUUUUGGGUUCACAUGAAUAUUACUCACGGAGAAACUUUGUUCCUUCAGUUGAUCACCUGGCUGAACAAAAUAACAUGUGAAGAUACUAUUUUAUUAAUGUACAUACAACAUAUGUUAGUUUCUCUAAAGAAAAUAACAUGUGAAGAUAUUUUUUUAUUAAUGUAUAGCAUAUGUCAACUUUGAUGAUUUGUGCCUAUCAAGUGUUAAGAUUUUAUUCAUUUUUCUUUUAUGGAAGGAAGCUAUUUUCUACACUGUAGCAAUAUAUUCCAGGGUUCUUUUAUUAUUGUAGAUCAUAUAUAUGUCGACUUUGCUGAUUUGUUCCUAUCAAGUGUUAAGAUUUUAUUCCUUUUCCUUUAGGAAAGGACGUUAUUUUCUGUACUGUUACUCAUACAAAAGGGACUUUGCUGAUUUGUGCCUAUCAACUAUCCCUAUGCUUUGAAUUUAUGGAAUCAAUAUGGACACAUAAUGUUGAGAAGUAGAAGCGUCAAGAUUUACAGUUUUGAAUAUUCUUAGUAGUUGUAUAUAUAGUUGUAUAUUUUGCAAAAAAUACAUGUAGUUUGUAUACUUUCAUCUGUCUAUCAACACUAGCUAGAGCAGGUGAUGACUUUAGAUAGGAACUGGUCUCCUUGUGCUUCAACAGUAAGUUUUUGUCUACUGCAUUCUAUUUUAUGCUGCUGCAAGUUUUUCAGAGCUGCUGAUAUAUGUCAGUGCAUGACAUGAUAAGGCUUUUCUUAGUAAUUCAAGCUCUUUAGUGCUUAGAGAGGUCGUUCGAGGCUGAUCGUGUGUCGCCUUCAGAGUUCUCUGUGUUUUCGCUAAAACUUCUAGCAUAUAAGAACACAUCUAUGAUAAGGCUUUGGUGAUCUAUCUUACAGGUGACAUUUGCUAUAUGUUUAAUUGUAUAUUUAAAUAACUUCCUUGAAUGCUACCAGAAAAAUAGACGUGCAUGGCAAUGUACGGGUGCUGGGGCGUCGACAUACUAAUAGAGCACAUUUUUUUUGCAAAAUGUGAUUUCUGGGGAAAAUACCACCUAUUUUUUGUUUAGUUAUACUACCUUAAUGAUUGAUGAUGAUGAUAAUAAUAAAUAUCUUUCUACAUAUAUGGUAUGGGGCUAAUAAUGUUUAAAUUUUGUAUCAGAAGAAAAAUAGCCCUGGUUGGACUCCACUAACAUAUUCCUACAAAAGAAAAAUACUAAUUAAGUUACAUGUUAUAUCAUAAUUCAUACUAAUUUGGUUAGAGUAAAAUACCUCUAAUAUAAUUCCAUCUAUUAAUAAUAUUAUAGUGCCAAAGUAGACGGGCGUAGCAACGCGCGCCUUCAAUGAUCUAGUAAUGUGUAAUAAUAGCCCAUAAUGCAAUAAAUAUCAAUACAAAAACAUGAUGCAAAAUGGACGUAUUAGCAGCCUUUGAGAAUAUAGCUGAGUUCUUGAAGAAGCGAAAAGAGCAAUCAGAUGCUUUUUUCACCCAAGCCAAAGAAGAGAUGAAAGAAGCCAGAAAGAAGCUAGCAGAGGUAAAGCAGGCUUGGCAUCACCUGCUAUCUAAAACUGUUGUCAAUGCAAAUUUUCAUUCAUAAUAGCUAGGUUCAAAUAUUUAUCCAGUCAACAUGCCUGUUGUGAUGUUCGUGCAUCUACGGAGAUGUAUGUAAGUCUGUGAUGCCGAGAUGUGGCACAAAAUAUUUUUUUUGGGUCAUGUAAUAACAGCCAUUACUUACCAAACAAUAACUGACGAACCAUUGGACAUGAUAUAGUUCACACGCAAGCCCAACAUUCCAAGUUCAA